rnacentral:rRNA from 1 species
AGUGAACGCUGGCGGUAGGCCUAACACAUGCAAGUCGAACGGCAGCACAGUAAGAGCUUGCUCUUACGGGUGGCGAGUGGCGGACGGGUGAGGAAUACAUCGGAAUCUACUCUUUCGUGGGGGUUAACGUAGGGAAACCUAAGCUAAUAUCGCAUACGCCCCACCGGUGAAAGUAGGGGAACUUCGGACCUUGCGCGAUUGAAUGAGCGGAUGUCGUGUUAGCUAGUUGGCGGGGUAAUGGCCAACCAAGGCGCCGAUACGUAGCUGGUCUGAGAGACUGGUCGGCGACACUGGAGGUGAGACACGGUCCAGGCUACUGCGGGAGGGAGCAGUGGGGAAUAGGGGACAGUGGGCGCAAGCCUGAUCCAGCCAUACCGCGUGGGUGAAGAAGGCGUUGGGGGUGUGAAGCCCGUUUGUUGGUAAAGAAAAGCAGCAGGUUGAUACGCCGCUGUUCUGACGGUACUCGAUGAAUAAGCACCGGCUAACUACGUG